UACGGAGGUUGCAAGCGUUGUUCGGAAUGACUGGGCGUAAAGGGAGCGCAGGCGGCCAAGUCAGUCUGAAGUGAAAGCCCGGGGCUUAACCCCGGAAUAGCUUUGGAUACUGCCUGGCUUGAGUGUGCGAUAGGAAAGCGGAAUUCCAGGUGUAGCGGUGAAAUGCGUAGAUAUCUGGAGGAACACCGGUGGCGAAAGCGGCUUUCUGGCCAGUUACUGACGCUCAUGCGCGAAAGCUGGGGUAGCGAACCGGAUUAGAUACCCCCGUAGUCCCU
rnacentral:rRNA from 1 species